UACGAAGGGGGCGAGCGUUGUUCGGAAUUACUGGGCGUAAAGGGCGCGUAGGCGGCCGAGCAAGUUAGAUGUGAAAGUCCUGGGCUUAACCUGGGGACUGCAUUUGAUACUGCUUGGCUUGAAUUCGGGAGAGGAUAGCGGAAUCCCCAGUGUAGAGGUGAAAUUCGUAGAUAUUGGGAAGAACACCGGUGGCGAAGGCGGCUAUCUGGACCGACAUUGACGCUGAGGCGCGAAAGCGUGGGGAGCAAACAGG
rnacentral:rRNA from 1 species